AACGAACGCUGGCGGCAGGCUUAACACAUGCAAGUCGAGCGCCCCGCAAGGGGAGCGGCAGACGGGUGAGUAACGCGUGGGAACGUACCCUUUGCUACGGAAUAGCUCCGGGAAACUGGAAUUAAUACCGUAUGUGCCCUACGGGGGAAAGAUUUAUCGGCAAAGGAUCGGCCCGCGUUGGAUUAGCUAGUUGGUGGGGUAAUGGCCUACCAAGGCGACGAUCCAUAGCUGGUCUGAGAGGAUGAUCAGCCACAUUGGGACUGAGACACGGCCCAAACUCCUACGGGAGGCAGCAGUGGGGAAUAUUGGACAAUGGGCGCAAGCCUGAUCCAGCCAUGCCGCGUGAGUGAUGAAGGCCUUAGGGUUGUAAAGCUCUUUCAGUAGGGACGAUAAUGACGGUACCUACAGAAGAAGCCCCGGCUAACUUCGUGCCAGCAGCCGCAGUAACAC
rnacentral:rRNA from 1 species